UAGAAUUAAUUAAGUCUAAAUAAUUUAAUUUUAAAAAUGGUCUAAAUCUUUAAAUGGGCUACAAUUGCAGUUGACUAGUUUAAUUCAAAUGGCCAUGCUUUACAUUAAUUUUCAGCCGACUACCAAAGGGUUUGGCCGAAGACACCAGCCCAGUAAACCCCCAUCCCUAUCCUACUUGGCGAUCCACGCCACUUACAUUUGACCAAUCACCACACGACACGUCAAACCUUCUAAUUACUCAUAGAGAAAACACAACUCGUCUGGAUCGUUGAUCCAAAUCAUCAACGAUCCACAAUUAAUCCUAAUUUCUCCUUAUUUUAGUAAAUCUCCAGUGUUUUAUCUCAACUGUUGUAUUCAAAUGAUCCAACGGUUCUAGUUUUAUCCCAUUAAAACCCUUUCUUUUCCUUUUAUCCCUAAAAAGCCGGAGCCGUUGAUCAAAGUGAUCCAACAACUCCCAUGCCAUCUCUCAUUUUAACUAUCCGUUCCCCCAAUAUCGUAUUCAAUUCUUCAGAGACCAGCCGCCCCUCUUUCCCUUUCCUCUCUCUCUUUUCUCUCUUCUCCAGAGACCCAUCAAUCUCUGAGACCUUGCACGAAUUCGUGCAAGGUCACUCAAAAUUGAACCAAAAUGCUAAGACCAAAAUGUGCAAGCGAGAAUAUAAUCAUUUCCUCUCCUGGUAGUUCAAAUCAACACAUCCAAGCAGUAGAUUCAUGAGAAUCUUAACUAUAUUAUGAUGAUUCUUAUUCCAGAUGUCAAACACACUGGCCUCUAGACACGGGCUUUGACUGAUGCUCCUUUGGUUCCAACGGCCGAUUUCCUUCAUCAUUUCACGCCAAGGUAACUUCUUUCUGAUCUUCCCCCUGUAUUUUCCCAUAUUUUUUCUCUUUUGCUCCCAUCAGUAACUUAAUCGUCAUCUUUCACUAUCCUUUCAGAUUCAAAUGAACCCUAAGGCUCCAAUGGCCGCUAUAAAUAGGAGCCUUUAAUGUUGUCACUAGACACACUGAGAACAAGAUAAACUAACCAAGGAGCUUAGUAAUACUAUCUUUUUAAAUACUCUAUGUUUUUCUCUAAUUUUUUCUUUCUUUUUUCUACUCGAGUUCGACUACUGUGAGUUCAUUGGGAGAUCAAGCUCCUAAACGGCUAGUGAUUGCCUCUACUUGGUUUGCUGCUCCAAAGAAGGUUGUUGUUUACAUCAAUAUCUCACAAUGGUCAUUGAGUUUUGUUCCUCAACACUUAUUUCCAUUAGGUAUAUGUCUUGACUAAUUGUGUUGAAUAUUAUUGUGAGCUUAAUCUUGUUACCUUACUAUGUUGAUUUGAGUUGAUUAAUCUCUGUGAUAGUAGCUGUGUUUAGCCUAUGCUACUGCAUUGUUGAUUGGAGAGAUGCUUACUACAUUUUAUUCUUUUUCUCACAUUAUCAUGUUGAUUAAAGCUAAUUGAAUGA